rnacentral:rRNA from 1 species
AGUGAACGCUGGCGGUAGGCCUAACACAUGCAAGUCGAACGGCAGCACAGUAAGAGCUUGCUCUUACGGGUGGCGAGUGGCGGACGGGUGAGGAAUACAUCGGAAUCUACUUUUUCGUGGGGGAUAACGUAGGGAAACUUACGCUAAUACCGCAUACGACCUACGGGUGAAAGCAGGGGAUCUUCGGACCUUGCGCGAUUGAAUGAGCCGAUGUCGGAUUAGCUAGUUGGCGGGGUAAAGGCCCACCAAGGCGACGAUCCGUAGCUGGUCUGAGAGGAUGAUCAGCCACACUGGAACUGAGACACGGUCCAGACUCCUACGGGAGGUAGCAGUGGGGAAUAUUGGACAAUGGGCGCAAGCCUGAUCCAGCCAUACCGCGUGGGUGAAGAAGGCCUUCGGGUUGUAAAGCCCUUUUGUUGGGAAAGAAAAGCAGCAGGUUAAUACCCCGCUGUUCUGACGGUACCCAAAGAAUAAGCACCGUCUAACUUCGUG